AGCUCUUGGUCUGUGCCACGGAUCCUCAGCACAGCAAGGCCAGCUACUUCAGUCUCCACUUUAGCUGCCUCUGCUUCACUCCCUUGCGAAAGAUCUGCAGGUGCCCUUCUGUUCAGGGCCACAGAGGGCAGAGAGAAGCCAGGUGGCUGCCGUGCCUCCUGAGUGCACUUGCCCGGGAGGCUGAAGCAGAGUUGCUCAGGGCGGAUGAAGAGGGUGUGGACAAGCAGUCCCAAGGUUGGGGGAAGCUUCCAGCACUUUCGUAAGCAGCACAGGUUCAUGCUCUUAUUCCACCGGGGCAGAGACACCCCUUCCCCACACCAGGACAGCAGCACCUCAGCAGGAGGGCAGCUGGGGCCUUAGGGGCACAGGGUUCCACCUCAUGAUGGCAUGAACCCUCCAAACCUAGAAUGGAUCCCCAUUUUGAUGGGUAAAGGGCUCCCCUGUGUGCCUGGGCCAGCUCCUGCCCUCCUGGAUGUGGCCUAGGCCCAGAAACAGCCUCUGAGGGCAGAAACCGGGGUCUCCCUUCGCCUGGAAAACAAAAGGUUACUUGGCUGCCUGGGCCCGGGUCCUGAGAUCGAGGCUAACUCCGUGAGGACAGAAGGUGUCCAGAAAUGCUCUCCCUAAUCCUCAAUCCCUCCCCCACCUCAUUGCUCCCUUUGACUCUGUCUGUCUCUGUCUCCCUGUGUCUCCAUGUCUGCCUCAUGAGCCUGGGUGAUCGCUUGCUGUGACUGCAUCUGACACGUGUCCUGUACCAAGUGACUUUUUAGGUGUCUCCAACGCAAGAUGUCAUUCUGCUGAGCUUUUUCAGGCUCUGUGCCCAGAUUCUGAGGCCUCUGACCAAUUUGGAGGGUAGCGUCCCAGGUCGGCAGGUCUCUGAGCUGUGGAGGGCUUGUGUCUGGGGUGACAGUCCUCCGGGCUGAUCAGGGUUCUCUCCCAGCAUGUGAGGUGUCUGAUCUGCUUUAGGUAUUGUGUCUAGAAUGCAAGGCAUGGGAGCAGUUCUGAUUUCAGGAAGUAGGGUUUGAGCUCUCCCGAGUGUCUGUGUCAAUGAUAGGACACAAUAGCGCCCCUUGGGGCUCCAUAUCCUAGGUUGUGAGAACACUGAGGUUAUUCCAAACUCACGAAAGGUGUCUGAUCCUUUUGGGGUCCUGCGUCCUGGGUGUGUCCUCCCUACCCGGUUAUGAGUCUGCACCGCAGGGGUUGAGGCUGCUGACAUGUUGAGGAGUUGCUGUGUCUCAGGUUGUAAACCCUGUGCUGUGUGGGAAUGGUGUGUCCCACACUCUGAGGUCUCCUAGGUGUUUGUUGCAGGGAACAUUGUGCCCAAGGCCUCUGUGUUCCCUGUCCCAGUCCCCUCAACCGUUUCUGUGUCCGCAUCUCAGGGUGUGCGCACUAUGGUUUUGUGGGCUUCUGGGUCCGGGCUGUGAGGUCCGUGAGGUAAUCCGGUUUCUACAUCACAGGUUCUAAAGUUGCUCACACGCACGUGGGUCUGAAUUUUAGAAUCUGAUGUCUCUGAGCAGGUUUAGUGUCUGUGUCCUCCUUCACUGAGUUCUUGGAGGGGUCUGAGUUCUGCGAACUGUUCAGUGUUGUGUGUCCAGGGUUGAGGUCUCUGAGCUGCUUGUUCCUGGGUUGUUGUCUGGGUUUUCUAUGUCGUUGGGGUCUCUUGGGCUUUGUGACCCAGCCUGUGAGGUCCCUGAGGUAUCUGAGAGUGUGUGUGUCCAGGAUAGGAUGUUUCAGAGCUGGUAGGAGAUGUAUGUUUUGGAGGGAGGCCUGUUCUGUCUUUGGUUCCGUGUUCCAGGGAUUGAAACGUCUGAGCUCUUUGGGAGAUCAUCUCAAGCAUGAGAGACACUGUCACAUAGCAAAGUUCAGACAUGAGUUGUUUGUGACCUUCUCCUGAUAUUUGGGUCUCACCCUGUACAGUCAGUGAGAGGUUGUCUCGAGUUGACUUUCCCAGACUCGUCCACUCCAGCCUGCCACAGCCACGCUUACUUAUCUAGACCCCUGAGUUUACACGGCCAGCUUCCUUCACAGCUGCCCCUGGGGUUGGAGUCAUGCGACUGCUUUGAGAGUCACAGGUCCCCCUCAGCACCACUUGUGGAGAUCUCACUGUGCGGAGGAGUUUCUUCUGUGUCUCUGAUAAAAGACACAGAGCAGGGACCCUCUCUCUCAGCGAUGAACAGGACCUGCCCAUGUGUUCCUGGGUCGUGUGGUCUGUCUCCUGCAAGAUGUCACUGACACCCAGAAAAUAACCUGGACACAACAUCCCUCUUGCAGCUCUCGCAGAACACAUGCAUCAAACCUGGGAUCCCCUGUGCCCUGGUGGGAUGGCAGGAGUCUCUAGCUGUUUGGAUCAUCUUCCCAAACCUUAACUUCACCUUUACAUGAUGAGGAUCUACAGAGCGGCAUCUCAGCCCUUUCCUGCAAACGCACGGUGCUUCUGAAUGCAGAAUUCGGGGCUAGGGAAGGGAGGGGACACAGGUAGAUGCCAUCUGUGGUCAGGGGGAGGUGUGGGCCCGAGACCGUCUCAGCUGAAAUGUAGGAGUAAUGGGCACAGACCAUUCAAGAGAAAUGUAUGUUGGGCUGAAGAAAGUAGAAACUACCUCCAGAGUAUCUCCUCCAUCUCUAAGACAUGCACGGUUUAAUUCUGUUAUUUUAUGAGGCUCUUUGCACCAUGACACAAGCAUGCAUAGAGGGCUCCAUCAUACAGGGGAGAACGAGACCCUGAAUGGUCUCACAGUCUAGUGGGGGAGGCAUAUGUGUUCCUUCAGGCAACAAAUAUGUAUGAAAGUCUUCUACAUGCCAGGCACUGCUUGAGGUGUGGGGAUACCUCAGGGAAUCAAAUCAACAGAAAUCCCUGCCCUGGAUCUGACAUUCCCCGAAGAGGACGUGGUAGGUAGCAGACAGCAAACCCUCCACAAGGGAAUCUAGGAAACGUUAGAAGUUAUGAACCAAAACGUACCCGAGACAGGUCUCAAUCAAUUUAGAAGUUUAUUUUGCCAAGGUUAAGGACGUGCCCCUGACACAACCUCAGGAGGUCCUGACGAAACAUCCCCAAGGUCGUCAGGGUACAGCUUCACUUUAUACACUUUAGGGAGACAUAAGACAUCAAUCAGUGCAUGUACGACGUACAUUGGUUCGUUCUGAAAAGGCGGGACAACUACCAAGUCGGCGGGCAGUGGAGGGGCGGUGGGGUCUUACAGGUCAUAAGUGGAUUCAAAGAUUUUCUGAUUGGCAAUUGCUUGAGUUUAUCUAAAGACCUCCAAUCCAUAGGAGGGAGUGUCUGGGUUAAGAUAAGGGGUUGUGGAGAUCAAGGUUCUUAUUAUGCCAAUGAAGUCCCCAGGUAGCCGGCUUCAGAGAGAAUAGACUGUAAAUAUUUCUUAUCAGACCUUAAAAGUUGCUGGACUCUUAGCUAAUUCUCUCCUAGACCAGGAAAAAGACCUGGAAAGGGAAAGGGAUUCUCUACAGAAUGUAGACUUCCUCACAAGAGAUGGCUUUGUAGGCCUAUUUCAAAAUGUGUCAAAGAAAUAUAUUGUUGGGUGAAACACUUUGACUUCUUUCAGGGCUUAUUUGUUAUGUGAUGCUAUACUAGUCAGGCUGGAACUUGGUGUCUUAUUGCCACAGUCUUAAGAUCUCUGCCUUAACAUAAAUGCCGGUCAGUUGUGCCUGAAUUCCAUAGGGAGAAGGGUGUAAUGACACAUGUCUGACCCACCCUUCCCAUCAUGGCCUGAACUACUUUUUCAGGCUAACUUUGGAAAAGCUUUGGCCGAGAGGAAGGGUCCAUUCAGAUGGUUGGGGAGUGGGGCUUAGAAUUUUAUUUUUAGUUUACAAAGAUGAUGGGGCCUGUGUUAAAAAGAAAAAAUAUACAGAUCACGGUACAGGGACUGGGAAUAGGAGAAGGAACUGGGUGGGCUGUAGGUUAAUUAUGACACAGAGUGACCAGGGUAGGCUGGGUUGAGAAGGUGACAAUUUGACAAAGAUGUGAAGGGGGAGGAGUCGGUCAAGCAGAUAUCUGUGGUGAAGGCCUUCCAGACAGAGGGAACAGCUGGAAAAAAGUCAGAGGCUAAGUCGGUCCGACACGGCACAGACGCCACAAGGACACCAGCGCACCAGCAGGAAGCUGAACAGAAGGCUGGAGGUGCCACGGUGACAGGGACGGGAUCCUGUUGGGCCAGAUGGACUCACCGUGUCACCCAGGUUGGACUGCACUGGCCUCAACCUCCUGAGUUCAAGUGAUCGUCCCACCUCAGCCUCCCCAGUAGCUGGGACCAUAGCUGUGCAGCAUCAUGCCUGGCUAAUUUUUUAAAUUUUUUGUUGAGAUGGUGGUCUCGCCCUGUUGCUCAGGCUGGCCUCAAACUCCUGGGCUGAAGCAGUCCUCCCACCUCAGCCUCCCAAAGUGCUUGGAUUAGAGGCGUGAGCCACCAUUCCUGGCUCCUUGGACAAUAUUUUAUUCCUCAGAUUAAGACACGUCCUUGGGAUGGGGCUGCAUUGGAUAAUUCACUGAAGGCACCGCUGAAUGGAGUGAGCCCUCAGUAAAUACCUGGAGGAAUGUGACCUGGCCAGUGAGGUUAUUUUCUUUUGUAGGUGAGAGGUGUAGCAGUCACUCGGCCUACACCCACAGCAUCGACCUUGUGAACCCAGCGACCUGACUGCCUUGGGAGAAUUGAAGCGAAUGAGAGUGGGGAGUGUGAGAGGUGCGCUCGGUGCAGCAUUUCUGGCAUGGGAACAGAACUGGCCAGGAGGAGGUGACGUCUGGGUUCUGCCCGCACACAUUCCUCGCCACCUUCUUGGUGUCUGAGAACCUCCAGCUUCACCUCCUUUUCUGGACCCAAGGGCCUGGCGGAGCUUCCAGCUGGGACCAGACCUCCAUGGAUCCACUCCAGAAAUGGAAUCCAGCAUCGCCUUCCAAAUCUUCCCUGAUGACAGCUGCAGAGACUUCCCAGGAAGGUCCAGCGCCCUCUCAGCCUUCGUACUCAGAACAGCCGAUGAUGGGCCUCAGUAACCUGAGCCCCGGUCCUGGCCCCAGCCAGGCUGUGCCUCUCCCAGAGGGGCUGCUCCGCCAGCGGUACAGAGAGGAGAAGACCCUGGAAGAGCGGCGGUGGGAGAGGCUGGAGUUCCUUCAGAGGAAGAAAGCAUUCCUGCGGCAUGUGAGGAGGAGACACCGCGAUCACAUGGCCCCCUAUGCUGUUGGGAGGGAAGCCAGAAUCUCCCCGUUAGGUGACAGAAGUCAGAAUCGAUUCCGAUGUGAAUGUCGAUACUGCCAGAGCCACAGGCCGAAUCUUUCUGGGAUCCCUGGGGAGAGCAACAGGGCCCCACAUCCCUCCUCCUGGGAGACGCUGGUGCAGGGCCUCAGUGGCUUGACUCUCAGCCUAGGCACCAACCAGCCCGGGCCUCUGCCUGAAGCGGCACUCCAGCCACAGGAGACAGAGGAGAAGCGCCAGCGAGAGAGGCAGCAGGAGAGCAAAAUAAUGUUUCAGAGGCUGCUCAAGCAGUGGUUAGAGGAAAACUGAGACGUGCACCCCCAUGGGAUGGAGACCCGAAGGGACUCAGACGGAGCUGCCGUGUUGGCAGCGCCUGGGUGUGGGCCCAUUUUGGGGACCAAACAGCAAGCUGUGGUCGGAUGAGUGCCAGGACCUGUGUACCGGGACACGUGGGAAUCCUCCCAGCAUGAUGCUUGACCGACCCGAGGAAGGUCCUCAUGUUUCGUGCCUGUCAUUCUCGGAUGGCUGUGAGGCAUUCCUUGGCAAGGGACGCUGCGUACCAGCGGUCCUCGCCGCAUCUCACAUGGCUCCUGUGAUGCAUGUUGUCGCUUUCCCACCCGGGAUCUCCAUCUCUCUCCCUUCCUGCUGUCAGUAAGAGAUCACAUGUCUGUGUAGUGUGAAUGCCUUGUCGCUGUCCUGUGCUUUUGCACCAUUGAGUUGACUGCCUCUGAGAAGCAGCACUAGGCCUGUUGAAAUGCAAUGUGCUGCCCUGAGAUCCAGUUUCAAGAAUGGGCAGGUAAACGCAGUGUGGGAAAGGAAUGUGGAAUGAGAACUUGGUGGUUCACCGCUGUACUAUUUGUGUAAAUGUUUACAUAUGUGAUAAGCUACAUGUAUGUAAAUGUUGCAAUACCCCUAACCGUCGAGUAGUAGUCUCCCUUACAGGAAUUUUUGAUGGGGUUCCUCAUCAUCAAUACCAAAUAAAUAUAUGUAGGAAUGGAAAAUGGGUGUAGAAUUCAGGUUUGUUCCUCAGUAUUGGUUUGUUUCUCAUUAGAUCUGAGCUGGUUACCUUGAAAUCUCCCAGCAGGGGAUCCGGGUUUAUUGAGGGAAGCUCUGUGCUGUGGAGACUGGGAACGGGGGAGGGAGGGCACCAGAGAACACAGCCCAGUCACUGUUUGAGCCCUGCAGCGGGACCAGCAUCGAGACCAGCGAGGCAGGGCCAUGGCUUUGAAGAGAGGCUUCCUGUGCACAGGAGACGUGGAAGCAGAGUCCGCCGCCCACGGUGAGAGCCCUGCGUGUUGGUGCUGGUGCCCUGGCUUAGGGGCUGCGGUGCCAUUGCUUGCUGUGUGGUGGGCCCGGGUGGGUGAAACUGAGCAGCAGUUUGCACCUGCUUUGUGAGAACCAGAGCAUCCUUGGGUUCUUCCAACAUCUUAUUGGGAUUUAGACAUGUGUGUCUUUUAAUUUCAGGAGGCACAAAUGACUAAAUCUACCUUUUUUUUUAACCUCUGCAGAAUCCUGAGAUGUGAACCCAGCCAGUACCCAUGUGACUCCUCUGAACUGAAAACAAAUUCUGCUUUGUGUCAGUCUGUUUUAGGUAGUCCCCAGAGCUGUCUUGCGGCAAAAGUCUACGCAUCUCCUGCCGACAGAAGUGGCUUGAAAACAGGUAAGUGUCUUGGAUUCUGAUGCUGAGAUCUCAUGAGAGAGUCGACAGUUGAACUGACCUAGCUCCAGGGGAGAAGGGGAAAAAAAAGCAGGGCUAUUCCUUCUUGAAACACAAAGGUCUAAGUGGAGACCAGUGAAUCCAGGAGGGUUUCAAAGGGGUUCGAGGCGUUGCCCUUUGGCUGAUGUUUCCUAGGGUUCUGAUGGUAUUUUCCCCAUUUCCAUAUGUCAGCUGCCUUCCUCCACUCCCACACACCCAUCCUCUAGCAACAUUUUCAGUUCCGCUUUAUGAAUUUCGAAAGCAGAACACCAGAGAAGUUAGGGAACUAGCCCACGGUGGCACAGGCAGUAAGAGGUAGAACUAGCACCCGAAUCUAGGUAGGCUGGGAUCGGAGCUGGCCCCCCUUCAGCAGUUCACCUCUGUGAAGGCUGUGGGUGAAGUGCCUAGAGCCGGGCUUUGGUGCUCAUUUCAUAGUUGGUAGCACCAAGUCUUGGUGAGAUCCAUUGCUGAAUCCUCCACACAGUGCCGUGGGCCAGGUACAAUCAUCCCCACCUUGUGGAGAGUUUGUGCAGGUCCUAAAGUGGUGGCCAGAGAUGCAUGCCUUUGUCUCACUCCCCAACCACUCAGAUGCUCUCUGCGGACCUCCUCAGUCAGCCCAGCAAGCACACCAGGUCCGUGCUGCCAGUGACAGUCAUCAUUUCAGCAACCAUCAGGGUUUCCAUUUUCUCACCUUGCCUGUCUCCCUUCUGGGCUACGUCGACUGUCGUGGUGGGGAGGUGAGGAGGAGUUGCAGAGGUAGCCCCGCUCCGGGGGAUUGAGCGAUUCAUCAGGGAGAGAGAUCCGACCCCAUCUUAGUCUGUGUCCUUCCACUAUAUCAUGAAAUACAACAGGCUGGGUGCUCUGGAUUGGAUAUGGUGUGUUUAUCCCCACCAAGAGUCAGGUUGAAGUUGAAUCCUCAUUGCUGCAGUGUUGGGAGGUGGGUCCUAGUGGGAGGUGUUUGGGUCGUGGUGGGGAUCCCUCAUGAAUGAGUCAGUGUCCUGUGAUGCCAUCCUGCUGGGCUGAGUUCUUACUCUCACAGGUAUGGAUUAGUUCGCAGGAGAGUGGAUUGUUCACAAGAUUCUGGCCUCCCUGGAUUCUCUCUCCCUUCCUUCUUUCCAUGUGAUCUCGUUGCACACGCCGGCUCUCCUUCCACUUUCCACCAUGAGUUGAAGCAGCCCGAGGCCCUCACCAGAUGCAGUUGCCCAAAAAUGAAUGUUUCAGCCACCAGAAUUGUGAGCCAGAUAAACCAACUUUUUCUUUUUAAAAGAUUUAUUUAUUUUAUUUUUUUUUAAGAGACCAGGUGAUGCUCUGUUGCCGACGAGAGUGGAGUGGCACGAUCAUGGCUCACUACAGCCUUGAACUCAGGUGGGAUCCUCCCACCUGAGCCUCCCAAGUAGCUCAAGGAUGUACUGCCAUGCCAGGCUGAUUUUUAAAUGUUUUGUAGAGAUAGCGUCUGGCCGUGUUGCCCAGGCAGAUCUCGAACUUCAGGCCUGAAAGUGUUCCUCCUACCUUGGCCUCCCAGAAUGCUGGGAUUAACAGGCAUGAGCCACCGUGCCUGGCCUCCCAUUUUCUUUAGAAAUUACUGAGUCUCAGGUAUUCUGUUAUAGCAAAGCAAAAUGGACCAAGACAGCUGGCAAUUUGUAAUGGAAACAAAUUUAUUUCUGGCGACCCUGGAUGCUGAGAAGUCCAAAACAAAGGUACCAGUAUCUGGUAUCUGGCAAGAGUCUUCCUGGUAUUUCCUCACGUGGCAAAAGGUGGAAGGACAAGCCGGGGAGAAUGUUAUGUCCUCACAUAGCAGAAGAGGAAAAGAGAGAGCAAACCCACUUCUGCAAGCUCUUUUCAUAGCAGCAUUCAUUCACUCACGAGGGCUCUGCCGUGAUGGCCUAAACACCUGCUGUUAUUCCACACCUCCCAACACUGUUGCAGUGGGGAUUAAUUUCACUGUGAGUUUUGGAGGGAACACAAAUAUUGAAAUGCUAGCAGAUACGCAUCGUUGUGUCAGAGAACAGGUGGUUGAUCCCAUGUGGUCCCAGUCUCAGGAGAUGAAAGGAGUGAGAGGGAUCUGAGUUGGAAAAAAGCAGGCAUCAGGGGCUUGCUCAGGGAGGUCACAGAUGCACAAUGCCACAGGGUCUCCAGGAACAGGCAUGGAAGGUGGGUGGGUGGAGGUAACUGAGGCACUCGGCACACCCUCCACAUCCUCACCUCCAGGUCUUUGUCCCUGUACCUGUGUAUGGGGGGUGGAUGGGACUUGGGGGUCAUGUCUGAGACACCAUACUAUCCCAAGUUACAGACCAGGAUCUGCAGUCCUGUGAUGUCCACAGGUGUCCAGCAUGCGACAUUCUAGAGUAGAGACCAAACCAAAGGCACCAGCAGGCGAGAGAGGAUUGGGACAGAGAAAGGUGCAAAUGCAGUGAGCACAUGGGACAUCUGAGUAGACCCGGAGAAUGUAAGGAAAUAGAAAGACUACAUUAAAAAUCUUCCCACUAGGGACAGUCUAGGCUCCACUGCCUCAUUGGUGAAGUCUGUCCAACAUUUACAAAAUACAUAAUGCCAACCCUUCACAGAUUCUUUUAGACUAUAGAGGAGGGAACAUUUCCCAACUUAUCCUUUGAAAAUUGUAUUACCCUGCUACUAAAGGCAGAUAGAGGCUGGGCGUGGUGGCUCACGCCUGUAAUCCCAACAUGUUGGGAGUCUGAGGUGGGCGGACCACCUGAGGUCAGGAGUUUGUGACCAGCCUGGCCAACAUGGUGAAACCCCGACUCUACUGAAAAUACAAAAAUUAGCUGAGUACCUGAAUACAGGUGGGCACCUGUAUUCCCAGCUACUCGGGAGGCAGAGGCAGGAGAAUUGCAUGAACCUGGGAGGCAGAGGUUGCAGUGAGCCCAGAGCGCACCACUGCACUCCAGCCUGGGUGACAGAGCAAGACUUGUCUCAAAAACAAUAAUAAAAUAAUAAUAAUAAUAGUGCCAGAGACAGCAGAAGAAUACCAUAAACCAAUAUCCAUCAUGAAUAUGCGUGCAAAAAUCCCCAACAAAAUAUUAACAAACCCCAAUCCAGCGACACAUACAGUGGGUUAUGCAACAUGACCAAGUGACAUUUAUUCUAGGAAUGCAAGAUUGGCUUAACAUUCAAAUUUCAGUCAAGGUAAUCCACCCUGUUAAUAUAAUAGAGGACGGGAACUAUAUCAUCAUCUUCAUAGACAGAGAAAAGUAUUUGACAAUAUCUGACACCCAUUAGUGAUAAAAUCAUGUCUACACAAAGACAUGUGCUCAGAUGUUCACCGCAGCAUUUUGCAGGAAGGCCCCAGAGUGGAAACAAGCCAAAUGUCUACCAAUCAGUAAAGGGAUAAAGAAGUGGUAUAUCCGUACAGCCAAAUGUUACUGAGCCGUGACAAAGAACACACUACUGAUGCACGUUUGAGCCUCCAAGACAUUAUGCUAAUUGACAGAUGUCAGACACAGAAGACCACUUAUUGCACAAGUCAGUUUAUAGGAAAUGCCCAGAGAGGCAGCUCUAAAGAGAGAGAAAGGAGCUUGCUAGUUGCCUGGGUGGGCCUGGAGGUAAAGUAAUGGGGAUUGACUGCUGCUAGUGGGUACCAGCGAUCUUUCUGGGGUGAUGGAAGUAUUCUGAAACUGGAUAGUGGUGAGGGCUGCAAAACUGUGUAAAUUUACUAAAACUCACUGUGUUAUUCCCUUUAGGUACGUGAAGUUUGUGGCAAGCAAAUUAUACCUUAGUAAAGCCAUUUAAAAAAUGUAGUGCAAGUGUGACCGUAAGUCACGGAGGAAAGGGUAUGCAGUCAUUUCUUUCUACAACAGUAAGCAACAUCCCCUCUCUUUCCCUGUUCCGCGUCCUGCCUACAUGUCCUGCCUGGUCGCCUGGCUCCUCCACGUGCACUUGAUGCUCCAGCCAGAUAGACUGUGCACACCUGGGCAGAGGGAGUGCUGGUGAGUGCACAUGUCUACGUGUGUGUCUGUGUGCGGUGUGCACGCGUUCCUGCGCAGGCACCCUGUGGGUGCAUGCACUAGUGACUGUCAAUCCUCUGUCUGUGGGCUGGCUCCCAUAAUCCAUGCUACGUCCUGAAUUCCACUGCCGGUUUUUCUGUUCACCAAUCUCAAGGACCUGGCUUCAGUUUCCCUGGUAACCAACCUCAGCCCUUAGCUUCAACCUCUGAGCACAGGAAGACAGCCAGAGUGGGGAGGGGUGGUGUCUCACCCACAGGGCCCCUGCCGGAGCUGAGCACCCCAUUGGGAUGAGUGGCAGCACGGUUACCAAGACAACGGAACUCUCGACCCCUUUCCACCUGCAAGGCUCUUCUCCCUCUCCUGGGCCUGCCGAGCAUCAGGUCGGAAAGUGCUGCAAAGAACAUGGGGAGUAUCUGGACUAUCAAUACCCAGAAGUGAGAUUACUGGAUCAUAUGGUAGUUAUUUUCAAGGUGAGUAAAACACUGCAUAGAUACGUUCACGAGACAUUGCACUAUCAUUCCUUGAAUCUAGAGAUGGCUCAGAUUUGUAUUAGCUGAUGUGGAUGAAUCAGCUCCCAGGCUUACUUAUUGUGUUGAGAUGCAUUUUUCACAUGUUAUUAUAAUUAGUGAUAUCAGAUUAAUCCUUCUGCUUAAAGGGCCAUAUAGGACUAGGAAAUGUACGAUGAAAAAUACAAUUCAGCAGUCCCUUGUUUCAUGUGUUGCACCCGUGGAGACCCACCUCCGCAAACUUCUUUUUUUUCUUCAGCUAUUUCUUCUGAAUAUUAACCUCUGUGUCUCUAAAUGAUGGGCUCCUACUGCUAUGUCCCGAUUUAGGGAUUUGGAGGUUAUCUGCUGAGUUCUCGGAGGAGAUGAGCAUUUCAGUCUCUGAGAUACAUUACAGGGCCCGGGUCUGCUCUUUGGCCUUCCCUGUGGGGGCCACCCAAGCCAGGGUCUGGGCCUCCACUCGGAUGCCUGUAGAGAGUCUCUGCCAAUACAAAGCCUUCACGGGAGACUCUUUGCUCAUCUGUGGCAAUGUGGAGGUCAUGGUUGGCUUUUUCCAGAGGCUUGCAGCAGAGUCACGGGGUGAUCUGCAGCCAACCUGGCAGUAUUCCUAGGUUCUGGGGUUCAGGAACUGAGUGGAUGGCGGUGCCAACCCAUGAGACAAGGGACACAGUUGGGGGUCAUCCGCUGAUUUGUUGGGCUUGUGGGAUAUCUGAGUGGACAUGCUCCUGAAACCAUGCCCUGUGGGGGCUCUGGGGCUCAGCUGGGAUUUUCCUGGUGGAGUUCGUGAUGCAGGAAUCCAUCAGCACACAAGCGGAGAAGGACAGAACCAAGUCUGGGUGGCCAUGUGGGCACCCAGGGUCACCUACAGAAUGAGGAGUGUCCAGGGCAAAGGUCGCAAGAGGGAGGAGGAGUCCCGCUGGGGGAGCACAGAGCAGUCUUGUGAUGAGAGUGGUGGACCUAUGGGGCUUGGAGUUGGGGUGAUGGAAGGGGCUGGGUACAUGGGGGCACUUGGUCUGGAGAUUCACACCGAAUGCCUGGUGUGAGGAGGUUUCUUUGCUUGAGACCAUAGAAGCACGAGGAGCCAUCAGAAGCCAGAAGAGGUUGUUCGUGUCUGUGGCCCUGGCCAGGAUGGAUUUCCAGCCUCUGUAAACCUAAGCCCUAUCGUGAGAGUGGCCUCAAAGUGUUAUCCCUCGUGGUGAGGAGGCUGUGCUUUUGGGCCCUUCAAGGGAGGAUCAGAGAGACUUAGCCACAGGGUGACACAACAGAACUCCCCUGGGAGUUCUCCAUGGGAACUGCGAGGGGCCCCGUGUUCCAGUAUUCUUUGCAAAUGCAAGGAGAGCCCCGAGUCUGGAGGUUCAGAUAUCUUGCAGCGAGCCACCUGUACCAGGCCACCAUAAAUAAUGGUGGGGUAUGUUCCCCAGUGAAGGAGCAGGUGCGAUGCAAGAAAGAUUCCGGCCAUCACUACCUGGCCACAGCCCAGGUGCCAUCGGGAACUGAAGGUCUUUGUCAAGGAAACUCGUCAUUGCAAAGCUCCUUAAACUCUCUUUGGGCGGUGGGGGGGGGGGGUGUCUCCGGGUGUCUACCUGGGUGGUACCCCCUAUAAGAAAAGGGGACCACAUGGGGCAUGAAUGUGACAAGAGGAGAAGCACGCCCUUCCUCCAAAUUGACCCCUUUAGAGAUCCCAGGAUGAGACACAAGGGCCCCGGGAGCCUCUCUGGGUCUGGUUCCUGGUGUGCAUUUGCCAGACUCUUCGGCCUCAGAGCGCUGCUGGGGCGUGAAGAAGUGCUGUAGAAGUCAUGAUUUUCUCAGCGUCAAGAGCCCAAUCAGGAUCUGGAAGUGGUGGAGUGGCCUCGGAGUUCCAGGUACUCGAGAGGCUGAGGUGGGAGGAUGGCUUGAGCCGAGUUCAAGGCUGUAGUGAUGUAUGUUUGCACGACUGCACUCCAGCCUGGGUGACAGAGCAAGACCUUAUAUCAAAAAAAAAAAAACAAAACCGAAUCAGGCAAUGCGUAUAUAAAUGUUUUCUAAAUCUUACAGCUCCACGUGAAGUAAGAGUGCUAUUACUGAUUUUGUUUUUGCUGCCUAACUGUGGCGGCUGCUUCUGUUAGUAACCGAGUUCUAUUAUUAAAUGAAAACACUCAACGGGGCCCAAGACAGCUGACUUGCCCCGGGGUGGAGAAGCGAGACCUGCCCAAAGGGCCAUGCCAGUGCACUAGGGCGCAUGGUGUCUGUGAGAAAUGAGGAGGUUCUGCCUUGGAGAAUGAGUUUCUGCCAGGAUACAACAAUGGGAGACAAUUCUUGGGUCUGUCAGGAGCCACUGAAGUUCUCCCCUGUACCUUUCAACUCUUGGGAGGAAACUGGCAUUAUGUACAUUUGAAAGAAAUAGGAAGGAAAAAAGCCCUCCUUCUUUUAAUAAGAAAUUUUGGCUUGCUGCAUUUGCUCCAGGCGUCAUUCUCUGUCUGUAGAAACAUUGUUUCACUCCACCCUCCAGGGCUCAGUUCCUGGGAAGUGGGGUCUAUCUUAAUAAAGAACACUGGAGCCCGGCAUGGCUGGGGAUGUCAAUGAUGGCCCUCAAGGAGGCCCUGCUCACCUCGGUGACAUGCUCAUUGGCUGCUCCACUCUCUGUGUGUGUCUGGUUUUCUCCUCUUUCUGUGCUCUGUUUGGGGAGGGUCUAUUUAUGGGGAGUUAAUAUCAUCUCAGAUGAUUAAAGAAGAGGUGGCAGCCAUGCACACUGGUACACACCAGUAAUCCCAGUCAUUUGGGAGGCUGAGGCUGGAGGAUGCUUGAGCCCAGGAGUUUGAGACCAGCCUGGCCAACAUAAUGAGACCUCAUCUCUACAAAGAAUAAAAACAUUAGCCGGCUGUGGUCGUGCAAGAUUGUACUCCCAGCUACUGGGGUGGUUGAGGUGGGAGGAUCUCUUGAGCCCAGGAGUUUUGACGCUGCAGUGAGCUACAGUCAUGCUACUGUACUCCAUCCUAGGUGACAGAAAAAAAAAGAGAAAGAAAAGAAGGGGAAAAAAAACCCUUCUUUUUAUGAGAAUCUUUGGCUUACUGCUUUUUCUCUAGGCUUCCUUUCAUGGCUCUAGACACAUGUUUUGACUCCAAGCUCCAUGGCUCAGGCCCUGGGAAAUGGGUUCUGUCUUAAUAAAGGACAGUAGGGCCUGGCCUUGCAUGGGGAGGGGAACGACAGCUUCUCUCUUCUGUGUGUCUGUCAGAUUCUUUGCUCUUUCUGUGUCCUGUUUUGGGAGUCUGCUUAUGAGGGGUUAAAAUUGUCCUGGGUUACAGUAGGGAAGACAAGUACGUCCCAUUCCCUUGCUACUGUGGACUGAUAAGACGGUGUGCAGAGGAGGAGUCGCAGGGAAUGGUGUGCAGAGGAGGAAUCGCAGGGAAUGGUAUGCAGAGAGCAACAAACUCACUCAAGCCCCUCACACCCCACAAGCACGCUGGCUUAUUUAUUCUCUCUGACUGAUUUGACAUUUGUCUUGCUUGUCCACCCUCUGGACUGGAUAGUAAGGGGAAACAAACGCACUGGAUUUUCGUCUAAUCUGGUGUCAUCUGAUGCUGUCAUGUAACCGGUCCAUUUGUAUAAAUGCUCAAUCUGUUUUGGCGAAAAUGAUCAGUCUCUUGGAUUGCCACCCCACCUCCCUACUCUUGUCCAAGAUGGGGAAGGGGCAUAUAUGGCUUUUGAGUCUCCAUGGUGAUGUGGGAAGGGGCCUAUGACAUUGUAUGUUGACUGCAGUGUCCUCGGUGGGUUCUGAGGGAAGGCUCACUCUUGUCCCCAGGUCCUGCUGGCGACGCUGCCCUGCUCACCCAUGCGUGAGGCUGGCGUAACUUGCAUUUUUGUCUCUCUCUCUCUCAUCUUGAUCAGGACCUUGUGCUCCCUGACUGACUUGACCUCAGCCCACCUGUACUGGCAUCUAGCAGACCCUUCUGAGUCAGGGCCUCAUGCUCUCCCCGACCCCUGACCAGUGCUGUCCACUCCACAGCCUCAGCUGCAGGGUCUCCUAGCUCCUAUCUGGCUUAUGCUUGCUUCAUGGUAGCACCGCUGGGUUUUGAAUCAGCCACUUCCACAUUCCCCUCUCAGAGAAUGUAGAGCGCUGAGGUCUCCCAAAACAGCAGGAACCAAGAUCAGCUCUACAAAGUGAAAUUCCUCAACUCCAGACAUCCCUCUGCCCAAAGAGGCUACUGGGCCAUUCUGCAAAACGAGCUCCAAAUUUGCAUGAGGUAAAACCCUCUUUUACUCGAAGCUUCUCUCCACUCCCUUGUCACACCUUCCUCCUCUGAGAUGUCUGACUCUGUCACUGCCUCUGGGGACCUCCUACCCCCUGUGACCAGAACAGGACACUUUCUUUGGCUUGCCUUUCAUGUUCACCUCAGACUUGCCCUGUUAUAUCCAGGUCAAGAAGGUCACAGUUGGGAAUUUGUACUUGGUUCAGAACAACAGUAGAAUAUGUUUCCAAGGGCCUGAGCCAUGGAGCUUGGAUUCAAAAAAAUGUGUCCAGAGCCAGGAAAGGACGCCUAGGGAAAAAGCAGUAAGCCAAAGGUUUACUGCUUCUUACUUAUAAGAAGAAGGGGAGAUUUUUCCCUCUUGUUUCUCUCUCUCU